UACGUAGGCAGCAAGCGUUGUUCGGAAUUACUGGGCGUAAAGGGUGCGUAGGCGGCUUUUUAAGUUUGGUGUGAAAUCUCCCGGCUCAACUGGGAGGGUGCGCCGAAUACUGAGAAGCUAGAGUGUGGGAGAGGAAAGUGGAAUUCCUGGUGUAGCGGUGAAAUGCGUAGAUAUCAGGAGGAACACCGGUGGUGUAAACGGCUUCCUGGACCAUAACUGACGCUGAGGCACGAAAGCGUGGGUAGCAAACAGG
rnacentral:rRNA from 1 species